UACGAAGGGGGCUAGCGUUGUUCGGAAUUACUGGGCGUAAAGCGCGCGCAGGCGGUCUUCCAAGUCAGUGGUGAAAGCCCGGAGCUCAACUCCGGAACUGCCAUUGAAACUGUAAGACUUGAGGAUGAGAGAGGUGAGUGGAAUUCCCAGUGUAGAGGUGAAAUUCGUAGAUAUCAGGAGGAACACCGGCGGCGAAGGCGGCUUCCUGGCCCAAUACUGACGUUCAGGUACGAAAGCGUGGGUAGCAAACAGG
rnacentral:rRNA from 1 species